AACGAACGCUGGCGGCAGGCCUAACACAUGCAAGUCGAGCGCCCCGCAAGGGGAGCGGCGGACGGGUUAGUAACGCGUGGGAAUGUACCCUUUUCUACGGAAUAGCCUCGGGAAACUGAGAUUAAUACCGUAUACGCCCGGUAACGGGGAAAGGAUUUAUCGGAGAAGGAUCAGCCCGCGUAAGAUUAGAUAGUUGGUGGGGUAAUGGCCUACCAAGUCUACGAUCUUUAGCUGGUUUGAGAGGAUGAUCAGCAACACUGGGACUGAGACACGGCCCACGACUCCUACGGGAGGGCAGCAGU
rnacentral:rRNA from 1 species